CCUACGGGAGGCAGCAGUGGGGGAUAUUGCACAAUGGGGGGAACCCUGAUGCAGCGACGCCGCGUGGGUGAAGAAGCGCCUCGGCGCGUAAAGCCCUGUCAGCAGGGAAGAAAAUGACGGUACCUGAAGAAGAAGCCCCGGCUAACUACGUGCCAGCAGCCGCGGUAAUACGUAGGGGGCAAGCGUUAUCCGGAUUUACUGGGUGUAAAGGGGGCGCAGACGGCGAUGCAAGCCAGGAGUGAAAGCCCGGGGCUCAACUCCGGGACUGCUUUUGAAACUGUAUGGCUAGAUUGCAGGAGAGGCAAGUGGAAUUCCUAGUGUAGCGGUGAAAUGCGUAGAUAUUAGGAGGAACACCAGUGGCGAAGGCGGCUUGCUGGACUGUAAAUGACGCUGAGGCUCGAAAGCGUGGGGAGCAAACAGGAUUAGAUACCCCAGUAGUC
rnacentral:rRNA from 1 species